rnacentral:rRNA from 1 species
CCUACGGGAGGCAGCAGUGGGGAAUAUUGGGCAAUGGGCGCAAGCCUGACCCAGCAACGCCGCGUGAAGGAAGAAGGCUUUCGGGUUGUAAACUUCUUUUGACAGGGAAGAGUAGAAGACGGUACCUGUCGAAUAAGCCACGGCUAACUACGUGCCAGCAGCCGCGGUAAUACGUAGGUGGCAAGCGUUGUCCGGAUUUACUGGGUGGAAAGGGCGUGUAGCCGGGCUGACAAGUCAGAUGUGAAAUUCCGGGGCUCAACCCCGGACCUGCAUUUGAAACUGUUGGUCUUGAGUAUCGGAGAGGCAGGCGGAAUUCCUAGUGUAGCGGUGAAAUGCGUAGAUAUUAGGAGGAACACCAGUGGCGAAGGCGGCCUGCUGGACGACAACUGACGGUGAGGCGCGAAAGCGUGGGGAGCAAACAGGAUUAGAUACCCUAUUAGUC